rnacentral:rRNA from 1 species
GACGAACGCUGGCGGCGUGCUUAACACAUGCAAGUCGAACGGAAAGGCCCUGCUUUUGUGGGGUGCUCGAGUGGCGAACGGGUGAGUAACACGUGAGUAACCUGCCCUUGACUUUGGGAUAACUUCAGGAAACUGGGGCUAAUACCGGAUAGGAGCUCCUGCUGCAUGGUGGGGGUUGGAAAGUUUCGGCGGUUGGGGAUGGACUCGCGGCUUAUCAGCUUGUUGGUGGGGUAGUGGCUUACCAAGGCUUUGACGGGUAGCCGGCCUGAGAGGGUGACCGGCCACCUUGCGACUGCGAUACGGCCCAGACUCCUACGGGAGGCAGCAGUGGGGAAUAUUGCACAAUGGGCGGAAGCCUGAUGCAGCAACGCCGCGUGCGGGAUGACGGCCUUCGGGUUGUAAACCGCUUUCGCCUGUGACGAAGCGUGAUUGACGGUAAUGGGUAAAGAAGCACCGGCUAACUACGUG